UUUUAAGAAGAAAUUGAUGAUCCAGAUCAAAACCACAAACUUGGGAGCAUUGUAAAUAAAUUAUUAUUUUUUUUUUCCUAUUCAAAUAAUAUUGGGGGAAAAAAAAAAUUUUUUUUUCAAAAAAAAAAGGUCGCCAAGACCCCCAACAAGCAGGAUGACCCAUCGGCCAUCCCAAUACUCGUGAUCUUCUAGUAGUUGAAUAAAAAGGGGCCCAAUCUCAAACAAAGAUGAAUCUUCAUCCGCACAUUCCUUAAUUUUCUCGCUCCAGUUCACCAUCAAAUCAGAUCAGGACCCGGCUGCUACCCGCGAUCAGGUGGGGUCCAGCACACAGUAGAAUGCCACGUUGGAGAAUAAAUAAUGGGGGGGUUAAUAGUUGCAGGUGAUUAACUGAUUAUGUCCCGUAGUGGAGUUAACAACAAUUGGGAGCGAAGGGGAAGCCCCAGGCCUUGGCUUUCUCGGUGCCAGACAAAACACGUACCGCGAGCUGCCCACCUCUGACAAAAUUUUCACAAACACCCACCCGCAUUCUUUUUUUCUUUUCUUUUUUAUUUUCUGGUUUCUGUUUGAAACAAUGGGCUGACAGCCAAAACAUCGAUCCCUUUUCAUAUUUCUUCAAAUGAAAAUAUAAGUUGUUCAUUUGUGUCAUUUAGGUCCCAAGCUUGGCUUAUGCAGAUAACAAAAUUCCCCGUUCAGGCCACUAGUCGGGUGACACGACUUAAAAAUAUUUGAUUUUCUUCCAAGUAUAAGAGUGUUUAAUUAUAAUAUAUUUUGGUAAGUCCGAAAUUGAUCCACAGAGAAAUGAUUUAAUUUGUUUAUUUAAGUUUAUAAAAAAAUAAAACUAAAAUUUAAAAAUAUGUAAUUUAGUUUAAGAAAAACUAUGAAAUUGAAUUAGUUAGGGUUAUUGAUCCACUCUUAGUAAUAAAUACAAUUUAACAAAUUCUUUUUAUUUUUUGUUACAUUUCUCAAAAGAUUAAUUGUAUAAGUUUAAAUUAUUUUCCCAUUUAUUUUAUUAUGAAUUAAGAACUUAAUGUGCCAAAACUUAACUUUUCUACAAUAAGUCAAAAUACAUUUUACCAUACUUUAUACUAAGAUAUUAAUAAUUCAUUGUGCCAAACUCCCAUGUU
rnacentral:lncRNA from 1 species